CGUCAGGAGUGAACGCUGGCGGCGUGCUAACACAUGCAAGUCGAACGGGGACACCCCCGAAACGGAAGUUUUCGGACGAACUGCGGGGAAUGCCUACGUGGCGGACGGGUGAGUAACGCGUGAGCAACCUGCCUUGGAGUGGGGAAGUAACAGAUGGAAACAUCUGCUAAUACCGCAUGAUGCAGUUGGGCCACAUGGCUCUGACUGCCAAAGAUUUAUCGCUCUGAGAUGGGCUCGCGUCUGAUUAGCUAGUUGGCGGGGUAACGGCCCACCAAGGCGACGAUCAGUAGCCGGACUGAGAGGUUGGCCGGCCACAUUGGGACUGAGACACGGCCCAGACUCCUACGGGAGGCAGCAGUGGGGAAUAUUGGGCAAUGGGCGCAAGCCUGACCCAGCAACGCCGCGUGAAGGAAGAAGGCUUUCGGGUUGUAAGCUUCUUUUCUCAGGGACGAACAGAUGACGGUACCUGAGGAAUAAGCCACGGCUAACUACGUG
rnacentral:rRNA from 1 species